CGAGACAUUAUGUCCACACAAGUCAAAUGGAUUUGGGUUUAAACUGUGCUUUUGGUAAAAUGGUUACAAAACACACAGAUUAGUAUCUAAAUCUAACUCGGAGCAAUAUAAGAAAUGUUUUAGUUUACUAUUAAAAUCGUAAACUAAAACAUUUCUUAUAUUUGAGGAAGUGGAAUGGAUUGCUAGCUAAAAUCGACAAACAUCAUGAGUCCCUGUAUCUGCAUCCAGACUGACAGCGCUGUCUUUGCCUUCUGUCAACAGCUGCUGAGGUAGUUUAGAUUCACAACACUGAAAAAACCUUACGAGAACUUUCGAGAGGUCACUAAUGCUUUUAAGUAUUAAACAGUUCAUAAAUUAUAAUAUUAAUCUUAGCCGUUUAACUACUAGCAAUUACAUCAGCGUGAAUUAAGGUAGCGGCUAUGGCUAAACUUUAAUGUGAACGCUAGGUAGCAAGCGUUAUCAGUCCUGCAGAUCUGUAACAAUAAUAAACAGCGUGAAUUUGACAAAAUAACCAAAUUGUUUAGCUAAAAAGUGUUAUGUUUCUCUUGAAGUCAAAGAUUGAAGCUGAUAAAAGCCUACCAGCAAGUAACGUUGGCAGCCUACCUUAACAACUCUGAUGAGCAACGACAUAUGGAGGACUCGCAUACCUUGGUGGAUCCCUUGUUAGCCACCCUUUGGUCAGUGCCAUUUUACAUGCAGCCAGCAGCACAGCAAUCCCAAAAUAUAUGGUGUGCUGCUUCAUAGCCACAGUUCCUCCAAUAUUCGAAGCCUCCAUCAUCAUAGUGUGCUGCAGUAAUAAAAAAAUGGGAACCAGUACACCACAGAUGGCUUCCUGAACCCUGAAACCCCAGUGUCCUCUGGUCAACACCUGUCUGCAGCACGCCGGCCAAGCCAGAGGUUUUCUGAUGUACAGCAGAAUGUGUGUUGUGUUGUAAAAAAAACUACAAGUGCCCAGGAUAAAACCAGAGAAUGUCAGAGACAGUACUGAGAGAGCUGGAGAGAAGCCCGCUGCCUCCAGUGGGAUCAGCAUGUCGUGGGCUUCCUUCCUGAGUGUGACAGAGCUGCACAGACUCUCUCAGAAAUGUCUCGCUCCAGAAAAAGGCUCUUUGUCCUGUCUGACUCCAGCCAGCACAGGACAAGGAGCAAACAAGCAUGUUUGGAAGUAGGAGUGUGAACACAGACAGAGAGAGUGUGUUUUGAGGAAAGAGACUGUAUGUGAUUGUGUCUAUAAACGGAGAUAUUGUGGAAUCUUGUUUUAUUGUUUGGCUGUUUGGCUGCUUGUGCCAAUGUUGAGAAAGUGUCUGUGUGCUGAGAAGCUUUUAUUUCGUGUUUAUGUGUAGUCCGAUUGCUGCAGAGGACAGAGAUGAGAUGAGAGAAGCACGAGGAGCAGCCAUGUGCUCUACAGAAGCAGAGAAAUGCCUUUGACAAGGAUACAGCUGCAUCAUAGUAUGGCGGUGGCAUAACACGAUGCUGCAUCUCAGCGCUUUUGAACGACUCAGCAGCUUAACAUCCUUCGGGCCAGACAACUACCAGAGUCCUGAUGGCAUAGCUUAGACUUGUAGCAGCUAAGUGCCAUAAUCUCACAGCGCAAGUAGCUUGCUGACAAAGCAGACAGACGAACGUGUUGGAGCCGUGUUAACA